rnacentral:rRNA from 1 species
CCUACGGGAGGCAGCAGUGGGGAAUUUUGCACAAUGGGGGAAACCCUGAUGCAGCGACGCCGCGUGAGUGAAGAAGUAAUUCGUUAUGUAAAGCUCUAUCAGCAGGGAAGAAAAUGACGUUACCUGAGUAAUAAGCCCCGGCUAACUACGUGCCAGCAGCCGCGGUAUUACGGAGGGGGCAAGCGUUAUCCGGAUUUACUGGGUGUAACGGGAGCGGAGGCGGAAGUGCAAGUCUGGAGUGAAAGGCGGGGGCUCAACCCCCGGGUUGCUCUGGAAACUGUGCGGCUGGAGUGCAGAAGAGGUAAGUGGAAUUCCUAGUGUAGCGGUGAAAUGCGUAGAUAUUAGGAGGAACACCAGUGGCGAAGGCGGCUUACUGGACUGUAACUGACGUUGAGGCUCGAAAGCGUGGGGAGCAAACAGGAUUAGAUACCCGGGUAGUC